CUUGGAGUGGACUAUAGAGGUUGAUCACUCAUCCAUCCUGCUGAUAAAUUAUAACCUUUUAGAGUUAUAAAAGGUUGCUUGAAUCUGUCCGCAGUCUAGAGAGCAGUAGUGUGGCCAUGCUCACCCAGGCCUUCUUGGACUUCCCAAAAUAGUCACAGAAAUGUCUGUCUACAAGGAGUAUAACCUCUGUUACCAGGAAGACAUAUCUUUUGGGAUCUCAGAAAAGUGUAGGUGUAGGGUUCCCAACCCCACAAUUAUUAUGGGUGCAGAAAGUCCCUGGCAAGGCCCAUGUUGAUGGAGAGGAGCUAUAUGGCACAGCAGAGUACAGAUUCAACGUGUCAUAAAGUAACAGAAGAACGUGAAGUUGGUGCCUCUGCCAAGGAUUUGAAGUUGACAGCCUCAUUAUUUGGUAUCAGAUUUUACCUCUUCACAUUCUUUAUUCCCAUGAUAAAUUGGUGGUUCUUUGAU
rnacentral:lncRNA from 1 species